rnacentral:rRNA from 1 species
AUUGAACGCUGGCGGCAUGCCUUACACAUGCAAGUCGAACGGCAGCACGGGAGCAAUCCUGGUGGCGAGUGGCGAACGGGUGAGUAAUAUAUCGGAACGUGCCCAGUCGUGGGGGAUAACGCAGCGAAAGCUGUGCUAAUACCGCAUACGAUCUAAGGAUGAAAGCGGGGGAUCGCAAGACCUCGCGCGAUUGGAGCGGCCGAUAUCAGAUUAGCUAGUUGGUGGGGUAAAGGCCCAACAAGGCGACGAUCUGUAGCUGGUCUGAGAGGACGACCAGCCACACUGGAACUGAGACACGGUCCAGACUCCUACGGGAGGCAGCAGUGGGGAAUUUUGGACAAUGGGCGCAAGCCUGAUCCAGCAAUGCCGCGUGCAGGAUGAAGGCCUUCGGGUUGUAAACUGCUUUUGUACGGAACGAAACGGCCCUUUCUAAUACAGGGGGCUAAUGACGGUACCGUAAGAAUAAGCACCGGCUAACUACGUGCCAGCCGCCGCGGUAAGAC